GAGAACGAAACAAAGAGGCCAAAUUGCCCCCUCCCUCUCUUCAUCGUUCACGAACAAAAAACAAAGGAGGAACAAAAACAACAAACCGAAGCUCUCUCUGCUCGCGGUUUCUCGUCGUCUCUCUGUUCUCUCUCGUUUGAAAAACAACAACAACAACAGCAACUCGCUCUCACGGUGAACAACAACAAAAACCCUCUUGGUUCUGCGUUUAUGAACAACAACAAUAGCGACUACCGAACAGAAAGUCUACGGCGGCCAUGGGAGGAAAAACGAAGCUCAUACCAACAAGAACAACUUAAGUUGUGAACUGAUUUCAGAAAUAUAAAACCAGUUUCAGAUUUAUCAAUAAUAUUAAGAGUUAAGGUGGAAACUACUUACCUGUGAUGACAAGUUGUUCGCAGGAUUAUGUUGAGUGUCGGUGUUUUGACUGCAGGUGAGCAAGAACCUUCGGUGAUGUUGUUAUUGCAACUGUUGUUGUUGCUGAAUUUUUGUGUUGAAGUGAUUAUGUUGUUGCUGCAGUUUGAUUGAAGGUGAUAUGAAGAUGAACAAAACCGCUUUUGAUGAAGGUGAUGCCAUAACACCUCUUUGGAUUGUGGGAGAACUUGAAGAUGGAACUUCAAGUUGUUGAAAGCUUGAAGAUGAAGAUCUUCAAGUAAGGUAUGAAGAACCACUACCUUUUCACUCUUUCUCUCUUUUUUUGUAGAAUAACACUUAGAAGUAUGAGAAUUCUAUGUGUUACUCUUCCCCUCUUUUUUUUCGUUUCCUUCAUUUGUGUGUCUCUCCUCUAUUUAUAGAGGAAAAAGUGAGGGAUAAUUUUGGUCAUUUUGGAACCAAAGCUUAGUCCUUAAGCUCACUUAGUUACUAAGUUGUCAUCAUUGCAAAGAAUAUUCUUUCCCAAAAUAAUCAUUGCAAAAGUUUCUUUCAUGCUAAGUUUGCUUAAUGGCAAAGCUCACAAAUUUGUGCACAUGGGAGGAACAUGCACAUGGGAGGGAAAGAUUCCCUUCACAACUCUUGUAGUUCCACGACAAUGCUUCAUUUUAUGUCAAAGUUGGUAACUUCUAAGUGUAGUAGUAUGACAUAAAAUAUAUUUCUUUGACUUUCUUUGACUUUUUUUGACUUUUUGACUUUAAUUGGGCUUUUGGGCCCUCUUGAAUUAUUUUUUGUGAGACUUGCUAAUUCCACCUUUUUUGUUUCUUUUUCAUGUCACAUGAGGACUUGAAGAAAGAAUGAAGAAACUUGGACUUGAAGAAUGGAAGCUUGAAGGUUGAAGAAUGAAUUCAAGAAAACUUUGUAUUUUCGCUUGUUGUAAUUCCAAUUCAUUCCACCUUAGAAUUGUAUGAAUUUGGACCUUGUAUUCUUGAGAAUCAAUGGAACUUUGAAUGUUGUAACAUGAAUUUUGAAUGAAGUCCAUUUUGUAAUUCAUUUGGAA